GAUGAACGCUGGCGGCGUGCCUAAUACAUGCAAGUCGAGCGAACAGACGAGGAGCUUGCUCCUCUGACGUUAGCGGCGGACGGGUGAGUAACACGUGGAUAACCUACCUAUAAGACUGGGAUAACUUCGGGAAACCGGAGCUAAUACCGGAUAAUAUAUUGAACCGCAUGGUUCAAUAGUGAAAGACGGUUUUGCUGUCACUUAUAGAUGGAUCCGCGCCGCAUUAGCUAGUUGGUAAGGUAACGGCUUACCAAGGCAACGAUGCGUAGCCGACCUGAGAGGGUGAUCGGCCACACUGGAACUGAGACACGGUCCAGACUCCGACGGGAGGCAGCAGUAGGGAAUCUUCCGCAAUGGGCGAAAGCCUGACGGAGCAACGCCGCGUGAGUGAUGAAGGUCUUCGGAUCGUAAAACUCUGUUAUUAGGGAAGAACAAAUGUGUAAGUAACUAUGCACGUCUUGACGGUACCGAAUAAGAAAGCCACGGCUAACUACGU
rnacentral:rRNA from 1 species